UAAGUUUGAAACCACCCUGACUGUUGCUGC
rnacentral:piRNA from 2 species